rnacentral:ncRNA from 2 species
UGCUCUUUUCGCCGCGUCGGUUCCCGAGAGGGAUCAAAAGGGAAUCCGGUGCGGGCCCGUCAGGGCGCAAAUCCGGAGCUGCCCCCGCAACUGUCAGCGGCGAGCGACGUUCGAUCAUGCCACUGGGUUCGCCCGGGAAGGCCGAACGGAGCAUCGACCCGCGAGCCAGGAGACCUGCCGACGUCGUGAAGCCAAU